rnacentral:misc_RNA from 1 species
AAAUAGAUCUAAGCGAGAUGUCAUUUAAACAUCCCGGUUACGAGACUAGUUAAAGAGGGAACUCGGAAAAGUAACACUAGCAAUUGGUGAUGGGGCCAAUGAUGUUGGUAUGCUUCAAGAAGCCGAUAUCGGAAUUGGUAUCAGUGGCGCUGAAGGAAUGCAGGAUGUAAUGGCGAGUGACAUUGCAAUAGCCCAGUUUCGGUAUCUGGAGCGCUUGUUACUUGUGCAUGGACAUUGG